rnacentral:rRNA from 1 species
GUGGAUUAGAUACCCUGGUAGUCCACGCCGUAAACGAUGAGUGCUAAGUGUUAGAGGGUUUCCGCCCUUUAGUGCUGCAGCUAACGCAUUAAGCACUCCGCCUGGGGAGUACGGUCGCAAGACUGAAACUCAAAGGAAUUGACGGGGGCCCGCACAAGCGGUGGAGCAUGUGGUUUAAUUCGAAGCAACGCGAAGAACCUUACCAGGUCUUGACAUCCUCUGACAAUCCUAGAGAUAGGACUUUCCCCUUCGGGGGACAGAGUGACAGGUGGUGCAUGGUCGUCGACAGCU